UAUAUAUUUUAUGAAAUAUAUGGUCAAUGAUAUAUCAUAUAUGAUGCAAGAUACUUAUGAUACAUAUCAUAUGAUAUGUGAUGCAUGAUACACAAUUCAAUAGAUAUUAAAAUUUUAAUUUUAAUUAAAAAAGUGUAAGACUUUCAGUAAAAUUUAUAAGUAUUAUAAUACAUAGUAUAUGAUAAAUAGUUUUAUUUAGAGCAUAACUGUAUCUAUAUAAAUCAAAUUAGUCUAAUAAAGAGUUUGUAAUAUGGCAAAGAGUCUGAAAGAAUUAUAUGAAUUUUUGUAUACACCGUGCAUAACUCUUGGACCUUGAUAUAUG
rnacentral:lncRNA from 1 species